GGGCCCGCACAAGCGGUGGAGUAUGUGGUUUAAUUCGAUGCAACGCGAAGAACCUUACCAGGGUUUGACAUCCUGCGAAUCUCUUGGAAACAGGAGAGUGCCUUCGGGAACGCAGUGACAGGUGGUGCAUGGCUGUCGUCAGCUCGUGUCGUGAGAUGUUGGGUUAAGUCCCGCAACGAGCGCAACCCACGUCUUUAGUUGCCAGCAUUUAGUUGGGCACUCUAGAGAGACUGCCGGUGAUAAACCGGAGGAAGGUGUGGAUGACGUCAAGUCAUCAUGCCCCUUACAUCCUGGGCUACACACGUAUUACAAUGCUACGGACAAAGGGCAGCAAGUUCGCGAGGACAAGCAAAUCUCAUAAACCGUGGCUCAGUUCAGAUCGUAGGCUGCAACUCGCCUACGUGAAGGAGGAAUC
rnacentral:rRNA from 1 species